rnacentral:rRNA from 1 species
AGUGAACGCUGGCGGUAGGCCUAACACAUGCAAGUCGAACGGCAGCACAGUAAGAGCUUGCUCUUACGGGUGGCGAGUGGCGGACGGGUGAGGAAUACAUCGGAAUCUACUUUUUCGUGGGGGAUAACGUAGGGAAACUUACGCUAAUACCGCAUACGACCUACGGGUGAAAGCAGUGGAUCUUCGGACCUUGCGCGAUUGAAUGAGCCGAUGUCGGAUUAGCUAGUUGGCGGGGUAAAGGCCCACCAGGGCGACGAUCCGUAGCUUGCCUGAGGGGAUGUUCAGCACACCUGGAACUAGACAACGGUCAAGCCUCUUACGGGAGGCAGCAGUGGGGAAUAUUGGACAAGGGGCGCAAGCCUGCGCCAGCCAUACGGCGUGGGUGAAGAAGGCCUUGGGGUUGUAAAGCCUGUUUGUUGGGAAAGAAAAGCAGGAGGUUAACACCCCGCUGUUCUGCCGGUACCAAAAAAAUAAGCACCGGUAAAUUCGGG